UGCCAGCCGCCGCGGUAAUACGGAGGGUGCAAGCGUUAAUCGGAAUUACUGGGCGUAAAGCGCGCGUAGGUGGUUUGAUAAGCGAGAUGCGAAAGCCCAGGGCUUAACCUUGGAACUGCAUUCGAUACUGGUCAGCUAGAGUACAGUAGAGGCAAGUGGAAUUUCCUGUGUAGCGGUGAAAUGCGUAGAUAUAGGAAGGAACAUCAGUGGCGAAGGCGACUUGCUGGACUGAUACUGACGCUGAGGAGCGAAAGCGUGGGGAGCGAACGGGAUUAGAUA
rnacentral:rRNA from 1 species